GUGCUGGCUUUGGCAGCACAGGUACUGGAGUUGGAAGGAUGCAGAGACUAGCAUGGUCCCCUGCACAAGGAUGACACGCAGGUUCGUGGUGUUCCACGUGUUC